rnacentral:rRNA from 1 species
CUCUUUUGCCAGCGCUUAACUGCGCGGCGAAAAACCUUACACACAGUGUCUUUUUGAUACAGAACUCUUGCUUUGGUUUGGCCUAGAGAUAGGUUGGGCCAGAGGUUUAACAAAACACAAUUUAAUUAUUUUUACAGUUAGUCAAAUUUUGAAUUAAUCUUCAAAACUUUCAACAACGGAUCUCUUGGUUCUCGCAUCGAUGAAGAACGCAGCGAAAUGCGAUAAGUAAUAUGAAUUGCAGAUUUUCGUGAAUCAUCGAAUCUUUGAACGCACAUUGCGCCCUCUGGUAUUCCAGAGGGCAUGCCUGUUUGAGCGUCAUUUCUCUCUCAAACCCCCGGGUUUGGUAUUGAGUGAUACUCUUAGUCGGACUAGGCGUUUGCUUGAAAAGUAUUGGCAUGGGUAGUACUAGAUAGUGCUGUCGACCUCUCAAUGUAUUAGGUUUAUCCAACUCGUUGAAUGGUGUGGCGGGAUAUUUCUGGUAUUGUUGGCCCGGCCUUACAACAACCAAACAAGUUUGACCUCAAAUCAGGUAGGAAUACCCGCUGAACUUAAGCAUAUCAAUAAGCGGAGGAAAAGAAACCAACAGGGAUUGCCUUAGUAGCGGCGAGUGAAGCGGCAAAAGCUCAAAUUUGAAAUCUGGCGCCUUCGGUGUCCGAGUUGUAAUUUGAAGAUUGUAACCUUGGGGUUGGCUCUUGUCUAUGUUUCUUGGAACAGGACGUCACAGAGGGUGAGAAUCCCGUGCGAUGAGAUGCCCAAUUCUAUGUAAGGUGCUUUCGAAGAGUCGAGUUGUUUGGGAAUGCAGCUCUAAGUGGGUGGUAAAUUCCAUCUAAAGC